CCCACCUGGGGAGUACGUUCGCAAGAAUGAAACUCAAAGGAAUUGACGGGGGCCCGCACAAGCGGUGGAGCAUGUGGUUUAAUUCGAUGAUACGCGAGGAACCUUACCAGGGCUUAAAUGCAUUUUGACAGGGGUGGAGACACCUUUUCCUUCGGGCAAUUUGCAAGGUGCUGCAUGGUUGUCGUCAGCUCGUGCCGUGAGGUGUCAGGUUAAGUCCUAUAACGAGCGCAACCCCUACC
rnacentral:rRNA from 14 species